UUCACAGUUGGCUGAGUGAGGCUGGGGCUGCCAGGCCUGCUGAACUCACAGCCAGUUCCCUUAGAUCAGGGAGGUGGAAAAAACCCAAGAAUGUGAAUAAGUAUUUUCCUUACAACCUUCAUUAACUAUGUCUCUACAUGGCCCGGGAGAUGUUAAUUUCCUUCUGUCCAGGUCUCACUCAUAGUGACAGAAACACUGUCUGGGGGCGUCUCUGCCUCCUGGGUCCCCCGUGUAGGGAGAGGCUCCCUCCCUUUCCAGGCAAACUAGGAAAAUGAUGAUGGUGAUGGUGAGAGUGGAGAUAAUGGUGAUGGUGGUGAUGGUGGGUCAGCAGCUGGGCAUACAGCUCUGGGUUUUGAGAACAGUCAGGCUGGAGGGCAAAAAUGGGAUGUUGUCUGUGACACUUAUGUGGUAUUUAUCUCAGACCAAGGCCAGGGCCCUCUGUGUGGGGUUUGCAGGGAGGAGACUGGGAAGGACGGGCGUCUGGGACACGGAGAGCGGAGGCACCUGCCUUUCUAGUCUCUUCCGACAUCCCACCUCACGAUCAUGUGUCCCGAGCCCGGGUGGCCCUUGGCCGCACGCAUGCCUGGGGACGGCAGGGUGGCCGGCCUCCUCCUUCCUCGGCACCGCUCCCCGUCCCGACCACACCCUUGGCAGGACCAGCCCCACGAGGAAGUGCAUUCCGGCAGCUUUCGUCCUGGGCGCUGCAGCUGGGUGGGCGGGAAGGUGGCCCGCCCAGGACCCUGUGCUUUUCUGUCUUCGUUUAGGGCAACAUGAAGCAACAUUAAGCUCUAAACCAGAGACUCAGAACCGCAGGAUUCCAUCGUGCCCGGUGGAGCAGAGAAUGCUCACUGGGCCCAGACAGUGACCGGCCCGCCGUCCCUCGCUGGGCCCAGACGAUGGCCUGGCUGUGCUCCGCACGUGGACCAUGCUGUGCGUGGCUAACGCACCCGCUCCGUGUUUCCGUUCUGCACCACAGGCGGUUACCUGGAAAUGGGAGGAUGGUUCAUGAUGAAAACUGAGCUCAUAAGGCUCAAUGCCCAGCGUGGGGCUUGAACUCACGACCUCGAUAUCAAAAGUGGCAUGCUCCACCGACUGAGCCAGCCAGGAGCCCCACCCGGUAGCCUUUAUUAGAACCAAUUUCCUGAUUCUCGGGCAGCCGGGAAGGCUGUGUCCCAGACUGCGCUCGUGGACCCAAGCCAGUUUGUUCAAGAGAAACUCGGUCCUUUGUGAGAGGUGGAGACCCUAAGUGGACUCCUUCCAGAAAGCACGGGAACCCCCCGUGACGGCCUGAAGUGACUAAAACACGACCAGGAGGCACAUCCCUGCCCCAGCCCUCCCUAGGCAAACUUCGUGUUCAACGCACCUGAGAGUCAGGUAAAUACCGACAGCAGGUUAAAUACGAGUUGAACCAUUAGAACAGAAAAUACAGCUGGUGAGCAGCCCAGAGAGGCUGCGGGCAGGCCCAGCACCGACUGAGCUCGCCGCCCGGCACAGGUCGUUCGUGUCUGUAGGAACCACUGAUCUGGACACCCGCCUCCCCCUCUGUCUCUCUGCCGCUGGCCCGCGUGUUUGUCGCGCCCACCUGGGUGUCGCAUGGCGCACAGUUCCGGGGAAGGCUCCCGAACGCUCCUGAGGAGAAGCCACUGACGAGUUAUACACAGCUCAGCCCCGGACGCAGCACGCGAACCUGAUGAGCGGAGCUGUGGACAACCCCAGCAACCUGACGGGGGGCCCCCGAGCAAGGGGCUUCGAGGCCAAGUUUGAUACUGAAAGAGAAAGCCCGCUGACAGAGGCACACGUGGCACCCGAGGAUGCCUGCAGGGUGACAUCCACCCGUCUGAGCUGCUCUGCCGUCCAGCACCCACCAGGAGGGCCAGUACACAGGCAGGCCUCAGUUUGCCCAUCUGUAAGAUGGGACCCAGCCGCGCUGCAGGGAGAGCAAAGGAGGCUGUGCCACCAGGGGCAGGGGCCGUGUGAGCCGUCCGCAAGCGUCCUGGGGCCACCCUCCCAGCAGGUGCUCACAGUUAAGAAACACAGACUUAGACUGUAUCUCUUCCUGCUUCAAACCCUCCACGCUCCCGGGAACCUCCCCGCGCUCAGCACCCACGCUCCUUCCCUCAAAGGCCACGUGAGCCUCCUGUUGCUGCUGUGACAAAUCACCGCGAGCCCAGGGCUGAAAACGACACACGGUCCCAGGGCCGAAGUCCAACCCGGCCUCACCGGGCUGCAGGUGUCCACAGGACGGAACUCCUUCCGGAGGCUCCAGGAGAGAAUCCGGGUCCUUGUCUGUUCCGGCUCCUGGGGGCAGAGGCCUGGGGUGGGGGGCAUGGAGUCCCCACAGAAGCACGGUAAAUAGAGAAGAGUCGAGCUCUGGGCUCCUGGGGCCCUCGCUGUAGGACCUGUCGGGUCCUCCGCUCCCCAUCAGAGUGGGUCUCCGAGAGCGGCCGGGUCGGCCUGGUGUGCCAGCUCACGCGGCCUUGGAGUCCUUGCUCAUCCCUCAGAACACCGAGUGUCACCUUAUGGCCGUUAUCCCAGGUGGGCUGCCUGCAGGCGGGGGGCUGGCAACAUGGGUUUUGAAACCCCAGUCCCGUUCGGCAACCACAGAGUGCUUUAAUCUGACUUUAAUUAGGUCAGAUUUAAAAAUUUUAAUGACAGGGGGUGCCUGGGGGGCUCAGUCGGUUAAGCAUCGACUUUGGCUCAGGUCAUGAUCUCACGGUUCGGGGGCUCGAGCCCCGCGUCAGGCUCUGUGCUGACAGCUCGGAGCCUGGUUUGGAUUCUGGGUCCUCUCUCUGCACCUCCCCUGCUCCUGCUCUGUCUCUGCCUCUCUCUCAAAAGUGAAUAAACAUUAAUAAAAAAUUUUUUUUUUUUUUAGGUUUUAAUAACAGUUCAGUUACUGAAAACUUCUAUGUAUGUUUGGAACAACUUAGGUAGAUGAAUGUCCUUUUUGGACUAUAAAUCUUAUGAAAUUUAAGUACAAUCAGUCAUAUCUGAUAACAAGUUUAGCGAGUGAAUUGAAAAGUGCUGUAAGUGUAACAAAGACACUGGACUUUGAGGACUUAUAGAAAAAAAGGAAAGUAUCCCGCCAAUAAUUCCUUAUAUUGAUCACAUGCGUAAGUGGUAAGUUUUGGCUCUAUUGGAUUAAAUAAGAUAUUCUUUCUCUUUUCCCUUAAGACAGAUCUUGCUCAGCCCAGGUAAAUAAAACGUAUUAUUACAGUUAA